rnacentral:rRNA from 1 species
GAUGAACGCUGGCGGCGCGCCUAAUACAUGCAAGUCGAGCGAAUGGAUUAAGAGCUUGCUCUUAUGAAGUUAGCGGCGGACGGGUGAGUAACACGUGGGUAACCUGCCCAUAAGACUGGGAUAACUCCGGGAAACCGGGGCUAAUACCGGAUAACAUUUUGAACCGCAUGGUUCGAAAUUGAAAGGCGGCUUCGGCUGUCACUUAUGGAUGGACCCGCGUCGCAUUAGCUAGUUGGUGAGGUAACGGCUCACCAAGGCAACGAUGCGUAGCCGACCUGAGAGGGUGAUCGGCCACACUGGGACUGAGACACGGCCCAGACUCCUACGGGGGGCAGCAGUAGGGAAUCUUCCGCAAUGGACGAAAGUCUGACGGAGCAACGCCGCGUGAGUGAUGAAGGCUUUCGGGUCGUAAAACUCUGUUGUUAGGGAAGAACAAGUGCUAGUUGAAUAAGCUGGCACCUUGACGGUACCUAACCAGAAAGCCACGGCUAACUACGUGCCAGCAGCCGCGGUAA